ensembl:antisense Gm15813 predicted gene 15813
AGACCAAGCCCGGCCUCUGUCCAGCUCCUCUUCCAGUUCAAAGCCCAGAAGGUACUGACAAGGUGUGUGCGGGAUGAGUGUAGUGGAAGGGAUUCUAAGCUCCUCCGAGUCCUCUCCUGGGGCACAACGGGUGGAGAGGCACACGUUCUUAAUCAAACAGCCGGACUCAUUCCCCAAACUUCUGAAGCUGAGGUCUGUAGUCAGCAAGAUGUUUACUGCAUGAAGUCUAGAGAGUUCCAGGAUGUGAGAAAGUCAUAAGGAUAAGGUGGAGUUGCUUUGGCCAUGCUCUAGCGACAACUCUCAACCAAUUAAAUCGAGCCUGGCUUCCACGGAGACUGCAAAAAUCACAACCGCCUACAAAGUCUGAAGAUCUUAUCAAUGAAGGACCAUAAGAAAAAUAAUCAAAUUAACACAAGUUUUCCUGUUGGUGUGAAGAGACUCCAAAAAUUAAAACAAAAACCCAACUUUCUACUCCCCCAAGAAAACCCCAAUGGCAGAAAGAGAUGACUGGAAGAUGCUUUAAAUAACGAAGGUCAGGGAAUACCAGCUUUCUGAGUCACAGCCUCUCCCUGGAGAGGUGGAAAAAACAAAAAAAAAAACAACCCUGUAGGCUCUGACUCCAUUCUGCAGCACAGAGCUCAGGAGCGCCCCUUGCCAGAAGAGCAUCAGGACCAUAGCUCUUGCCAGCAUUUACAACUGCUGCUUGUUGGGAGAGCCCCGAUUCUCAGGUCUAUGUCUGCACCCCAGAACCAGAGGGAGGCCAUCACAUUUCAGUCAGAUGGAAAGAAGAAAGACGGAGGAAGCCAAGGAGACAACAGAGGCAAGGUCCUCCCUCCUAGGAUGGAACUGGCGGCAUUUCCUAAUGCUACUGCUAUACUAAAAUACCAGAGGCUGGGUAUUUUAUAAAGGAGAAGGAGUUUACUUAGCUCUGGAGGCUAAAAGCAUAGAUCACAUGAGUCCUUAGGAAUGGUGGGAAUGGAUAUGUGGACAAGAUCACAUAUAGAAGCUAGAGAAAUUUAAAGACCAGAAAGUGUUCUUUUGGAAAGAACUUAAUCUUGUGAGAAAUGAUUAAGGUCCCAGGAGAACUUUUGUCCCUAAGCCUGGGUCCUAAUGACCUUCAGCUAAGGCUCCAACGUUUAAAGUUCCCACUGCCACCCAACAUGGCCAUGUGGAACGUCUAGCACACAAACCAACCUCUAGGGGACAGAGUUGAGUCUUAGUCAACUCAAAGCAAUGAGAGGCUAAGCAAGUCCAGAUGGUACAGUGGGGCCAGGGAGAACUGCUGAGCUCAUCUCCUUCCUCCAGGGGUUCCACAGAGGCUGAGUCCUUCCUGGUCUUGGUCAGUAUCAACUCUCUGGCCUCUAAGUCAGCAUGGCAAACACAAUUGACUCUCUUAAUAACUAUUGGACACAGAUCCAUCCAUCCUGAUGUUGCCACACACUCUUUAGUCUUGAAGUGGAACAUGCCUGACCUCAACUUCUGUCAGUAUGCUGGGGACUCCAAAUUCUAACCUACCUGUCACUCUGAGUCCCCACCCUCUUCCAAUCAUCUCCCUGUACUUAUAGCUCACUACAUUUAAAGGGCCCUCAGGGAAUAACUCACCUCUACCCUCUCUGGAUAAACAACUCUCCAAAAAGUCUUACAUCCCAUCCCCAGGGAGCUUGCCUACUCAGGACUCAGAAUCACUCUCUCUGAGCAUCACCUGUAUUGGGCACCUUGUCAGGUCGAGGAUCCCAAGCUGGGUAAAUUAUACGGAUGCUUGCUUAGCUCGCGAUCCUGAGACAGUGCCUCAGCAGCAUCUAUGCAGCCUCUGGUGAGGUGCUUCCUAUUGGAUUGUGAUAUAUGUGCAGGGCAUCAUGUGGCCAGACAGAGAACUUUGCUAACUUCAGGCUUUCUCCUAUGAAACCACUCUCAUCCUCAUGGAAGCCCCACUCUGAUGGCCUCAUCUAGUCUUAAUUACUGCCAAAGCUGACAUCUCCCAAGGCCUCGAGCAGAUGACUUUGGAGAUGCAGUUUGGGCAUGAAUUUUGGAGAGAAGGAACACCUGGAUGAGAAUAGCCAGUCAAACACCAGUCCUCCACCCUCCUUCUCUCUUCUGAUCACACCACUCUGGGAGCGCAGGCCACCAGCCUCUCUCCUUGUGCCAGGCCACUGACUCCAGCUCCCUUAGCCCAGAUGGAAUGGCUCACACCAUCCCAUGCCUGGCUGCUGUGCCUACUUCCCUAUGACCCACAGGACAGAGUUAGUGAGAAUGAGGUUCUAUAAGAGCUUCAUAAUCUGACCACUGGCCGAAAAUCUCCCCUUCCCAUCCUUAUGCAUAACCAACCUCUCCACAUCAGCACUGCAAGCUUGGCUCUGAACACACACUAUCCACACAUCACACAGUGCACCUCGCCAUACCUCUCAACACUAACAACCAUGGCCUGAAGCACUUUAGCUUAGAAUCGGCUCUAGGGUACGCUGUGAGGGGCGGGGUCUUUUUUAUAACAUAUAUGAAGCUUUCUACCCUUAUAGAAACAUGUUGUUUCUGUGCAGAGAAUAAAGCUUUCAAUAUC